UACAGAGGUCUCAAGCGUUGUUCGGAUUCAUUGGGCGUAAAGGGUGCGUGAGGCGGCGCGCAAGUCGGGUGUGAAAUCUCGGGGCUUAACUCCGAAACUGCAUUCGAUACUGCCGUGCUUGAGGACUGGAGAGGAGACUGGAAUUUACGGUGUAGCGGUGAAAUGCGUAGAUAUCGUAAGGAAGACCAGUGGCGAAGGCGGGUCUCUGGACAGUUCCUGACGCUGAGGCACGAAGGUCAGGGGAGCAAACGGG
rnacentral:rRNA from 1 species